rnacentral:misc_RNA from 1 species
UUGAAUAAAUUUGGUUAGGUUGAUGCUGGUUCUUUGGGACAUGUGCACACCUAUUCCAUCUUUUACCCCUGUGCACCCAGUGUAGAUCUGAAUAAUUGUCGAGACAACCCUCGGUUUGAGAAUUGCUAUGCAUCAAGCAAGCUUUUCUUGCAAGUUCAGGUCUAUGUCAUAUAUACACUCCGAAAAUAUUCGAAUGUUUACUAGGACUUUUGUGCCUAUAAAAACAAUUA